rnacentral:rRNA from 1 species
AUUGAACGCUGGCGGCAUGCCUUACACAUGCAAGUCGAACGGCAGCACGGGAGCAAUCCUGGUGGCGAGUGGCGAACGGGUGAGUAAUACAUCGGAACGUGCCCAGUAGUGGGGGAUAGCCGGCGAAAGCCGGAUUAAUACCGCAUACGACCUGAGGGUGGAAAGCGGGGGAGUCGCAAGACCUCGCGCUAUUGGAGCGGCCGAUGUCAGAUUAGCUAGUUGGGGGGUAAAGGCCUACCAAGGCUACGAUCUGUAGUUGGUCUGAGAGGACGGACCAGCCACACUGGGACUGAGACACGG